UAAGAAGAGAAGAUCCUAUGGAGCUUUAAUUUAUUAAUUCAUUCUUUACUACCUUAAAUUCAAAAGCAAAUGAAACAUUAGACUUGAAUUAAUAAUUUGGGUUGGGGUGACCUUGGAUAAUAACAAAACUCUGAAUGAUAUUAACCUAGACACAACAAAUCAAAGUUUCCUAUCAUUAAUCAAUGAACCAAGUUACCAUAGGGAUAACAGUGCAAUUCUAUUUUAGGGUCCAUAUCAACAAUAGGGUUUAUGACCUCGAAGUUGGAUCAGGACAUCCUAACAGGACAGCCACUACUAAGGGUUUGUUUGUUCAAUGAUUAAAGUCCUAUACGAUCUGAGUUCAGACCAGAGUAAUCCAGGUAAGUUACUAUCUA
rnacentral:ncRNA from 1 species